GAACGGGGUUAUUUAGGAAAUUUCCUUCGGGGAAUGGAAUCUUUAACCUAGUGGCGGACGGGUGAGUAACGCGUGAGCAAUCUGCCUUCGGAUGGGGGAUAACAGUCGGAAACGGCUGCUAAUACCGCAUAACACAUGGGAUCCGCAUGUUUCCCAUGUCAAAGAUUUAUCGUCCGGAGAUGAGCUCGCGUCUGAUUAGCUGGUUGGCGGGGUAACGGCCCACCAAGGCGACGAUCAGUAGCCGGACUGAGAGGUUGAACGGCCACAUUGGGACUGAGACACGGCCCAGACUCCUACGGGAGGCAGCAGUGGGGAAUAUUGCGCAAUGGGGGCAACCCUGACGCAGCAACGCCGCGUGAUUGAAGAAGGCCUUCGGGUUGUAAAGAUCUUUAAUCGGGGACGAAUUUUGACGGUACCCGAAGAAUAAGCUCCGGCUAACUACGUGCCAGCAGCCGCGGUAAUACGUAGGGAGCAAGCGU
rnacentral:rRNA from 1 species